AGCGAACGCUGGCGGCAGGCCUAACACAUGCAAGUCGAACGAACUCUUCGGAGUUAGUGGCGGACGGGUGAGUAACACGUGGGAACGUGCCUUUUGGUUCGGAAUAACUCAGGGAAACUUGUGCUAAUACCGAAUGUGCCCUUCGGGGGAAAGAUUUAUCGCCAUUAGAGCGGCCCGCGUCUGAUUAGCUAGCUGGUGAG
rnacentral:rRNA from 1 species